GACGAACGCUGGCGGCGUGCUUAACACAUGCAAGUCGAACGGUAAGGCCCUUCGGGGUACACGAGUGGCGAACGGGUGAGUAACACGUGGGUGAUCUGCCCUGCACUUCGGGAUAAGCCUGGGAAACUGGGUCUAAUACCGGAUAGGACUCCUGCCUGCAUGGGUGGGGGUGGAAAGCUUUUGCGGUGUGGGAUGGGCCCGCGGCCUAUCAGCUUGUUGGUGGGGUGAUGGCCUACCAAGGCGACGACGGGUAGCCGGCCUGCGAGGGUGACCGGCGACCCUGGGACUGAGAUACGGCCCAGAGUCCUACGGGAGGCAGCAGUGGGGAAUAUUGCACAAUGGGCGCAAGCCUGAUGCAGCGACGCCGCGUGAGGGAUGACGGCCUUCGGGUUGUAAACCUCUUUCAGCACAGACGAAGCGCAAGUGACGGUAUGUGCAGAAGAAGGACCGGCCAACUACGUGCCAGCCGCCGCCGUAACAC
rnacentral:rRNA from 1 species